GAAGGUCUUAGGAUUGUAAAAUUCUUUCACCGGGGACGAUAAUGACGGUACCCGGAGAAGAAGCCCCGGCUAACUUCGUGCCAGCAGCCGCGGUAAUACGAAGGGGGCUAGCGUUGCUCGGAAUUACUGGGCGUAAAGGGAGCGUAGGCGGACAUUUAAGUCAGGGGUGAAAUCCCGGGGCUCAACCUCGGAAUUGCCUUUGAUACUGGGUGUCUUGAGUAUGAGAGAGGUGUGUGGAACUCCGAGUGUAGAGGUGAAAUUCGUAGAUAUUCGGAAGAACACCAGUGGCGAAGGCGACACACUGGCUCAUUACUGACGCUGAGGCUCGAAAGCGUGGGGAGCAAACAGGAUUAGAUACCCUGGUAGUCCACGCCGUAAACGAUGAUUGCUAGUUGUCGGGAUGCAUGCAUUUCGGUGACGCAGCUAACGCAUUAAGCAAUCCGCCUG
rnacentral:rRNA from 1 species